UUCUUCAGAUACUGUCUACUUUGUUUUUUUAGACAGCAUCUCUCAUUGUCCUGGAGCUCCCUGCAGGUUUGGCUGGCUGGGCGAUAAGCCCCAGCUAUCUUCCUGUUUCUAAUUUUCAGCACUGGGAUUACUGGUGGAUGCUACCAUACUGGUAAUGUUACCAUACUGGUAAAUGCUGAUGUCAUAAUGUUUGCAUGAAAGUACUUCCCUGACUGAGUCACCUCCUCAGUCUGCCCCUUCCUGUUCCCUUUUCAUUUGUAUAUCUAAGUCAGAAGAAUAUCGUCACAGCUUUCAGGAGGUAAAGACUUCUGUGAUGGCUAAUCUUGGUGUCAGCUUGACCACAUAUGGAAUCACCUAAAACCCAAGGGGCUGGGCAUAUCUGUGAGGGGUUUCUUGAUUGGAUCAUCUGAGGUGGGCAAUAUGGGUCACACCUUUUGAUGGCAACCCACUUAAAAGGACCAGGAGAAGGAAGCAUUUGCUUUUGCUGGCUGUCCCUCACUCUCACUGGCAACUUAAUCUAUCCGGAUGCUGAGAUAUUCUGUCACUGGAGUUAGAACCUACUGCUUUUGGGAUUCCAACAUAGGCUGAAGACCAACUGAGACAUACAGCCCUGUAGACUGAACAACUACUAGAUUCUUGGCUUUUUGGUCAGGAGACAGCCAUUGUUGAACUAGCCAGACCACCGCCUUUUGACCUAGGAGCACAUCUGCUGAGAUUGUAUUGCUAACUGGUGUGUGAAGAUCCAGCCCAUUGUGGGUGGCAUCAUUCCCUAGCAGAUCUGCUGGGACAGGGUGUUUGGACUCUUGCCUCUUCUCGGUGAUGGGCUGUAAGAACUGUAAGCUGAAAGAAACUCUUUUCUUCCCUAAGGUGCUGUUGGUCAUGAUGUCCUUUCGAAUUGACAGAAGUGAAGCUUUAACAGAUACUUAGAAAGUUACUUUGUACCAGACACUAGAUAGCCAGCAACUAUUGGGUAUGGAAGGGGUACUGUCAACAGAGAAAUGCAGAGUCAAGCCAGAAUGUGAUAUGAUAACAAACUUGGAUAAAAUAAAAAAAAAGAAAAUGUGAAGUAACUGGAA